rnacentral:rRNA from 1 species
CGGGGGGCAGCAGUAGGGAAUCUUCCGCAAUGGACGCAAGUCUGACGGAGCAACGCCGCGUGAGUGAAGAAGGUUUUCGGAUCGUAAAACUCUGUUGUUAGAGAAGAACAAGUGCUAGAGUAACUGUUAGCGCCUUGACGGUAUCUAACCAGAAAGCCACGGCUAACUACGUGCCAGCAGCCGCGGUAAUACGUAGGUGGCAAGCGUUGUCCGGAUUUAUUGGGCGUAAAGCGAGCGCAGGCGGUUCCUUAAGUCUGAUGUGAAAGCCCCCGGCUCAACCGGGGAGGGUCAUUGGAAACUGGGGAACUUGAGUGCAGAAGAGGAGAGUGGAAUUCCAUGUGUAGCGGUGAAAUGCGUAGAUAUAUGGAGGAACACCAGUGGCGAAGGCGACUCUCUGGUCUGUAACUGACGCUGAGGCUCGAAAGCGUGGGUAGCAAACAGGAUUAGAUACCCCAGU